UACGUAGGGGGCUAGCGUUGUCCGGAAUCAUUGGGCGUAAAGAGCGUGUAGGCUGCUCGGUAAGUCCGCUGUAAAAGUCAAAGGCUCAACCUUUGAAUGUCAGUGGAUACUGCCGGGCUAGAGUCCGGAAGAGGCGAGUGGAAUUCCCGGUGUAGCGGUGAAAUGCGCAGAUAUCGGGAGGAACACCAGUAGCGAAGGCGGCUCGCUGGGCCAUUCCUGACGCUGAGACGCGAAAGCUAGGGGAGCGAACAGG
rnacentral:rRNA from 1 species